AUGGCUGUGACGAAGCCGCCCUGGGCUCUGGGAGCCUCGAGGAUGGCCACAGCUGGGAGAUGCAGCCUUGCCCCUGGGUCUGGGCUUCUAGAAGGUACAGGAGGGUGGCUGCCUGCCUUGCUGUCUGGAAUGGAAGCCUGCGUGUCUGGGGAAACUUCAGGGAUGCCACAGCCCCCCACAUGUGCUCGACCGCCAAGUGGCAGAGCUCAGAACCAGGGGGCCUUGGGGCCACUCUGCACUGGUAGAGGAAGGGUCCCCUCGCUGCAGCUCCAGUGGCCUCCAGCUUGUCACCUGCAAAGAUGGGGGGCCCAGCAUCCCAUGGUCUGGUCUGGUUCCUCCCCACAAUGCCCCCCGAGCUCGCCCCUUUGCCCCCGGGCAGCCGGCCUUCUUCGGUGCAUCCACCACGCUAUGCCCGACCUGGCCCCAACCAGGCUCUCCCUGAGAGCUUCCCAGGGUCCCCCCACUGUGCAGCACCCCAGCUUCUGGGUGGGUCUUCACCCCCGUGUGCCCAGGGGCUGCCCUGGGUUCCUGCACUGCUGUGAACACAGCUCCUCUGUCCACAGUCUCCCUCCGCCGAGCAGAAGCAGCUGCCUGUGCGGGUCUGGAGAGAGGCCCCGGCCGCAGCUGGCCCAGGACAUGGGUGUGUUCCCAGGGAGGUGUGCCUGGACGGUGGGAGGGUGGGUCUGGCCGCAACGCAAGGAGGUCGGUGCCAGUCGUGGGAGGGCCAGGGACAGCAGCAUGAGGGAAACAUCGGGGGCACAGGCCUGGUAUGGGGCUGGGCUGGGUCCUGGACGCCCUCUCCCCAGGGCUCCAAACGGUGGUCUUCUGAGAGGGUGGGCUGCAAGAACAGGGGUGGGUCUGAGGGACUGCCGAGAGAGCAAGGGCCUGAGGAGGCUGGCUCCCUGCCCAGCGCUGAGAGGGCAGAGGGUGAGACCAGCCAGGCUGCGCAGGCCCCAGGUGGGCAAUAGCGUGGAGCCAGGGGCCAGAGCAGGCGCGGCGGGGCCAGGAGGCAGGGUCUGUGCAGUCGCCACCUUCUGUGCUGACUGA
rnacentral:lncRNA from 1 species